rnacentral:lncRNA from 1 species
UUAUUUAAUCAAAAUAGGCAAAAUUACCCGAGAGCCAUAAUUACGCUCAUCAUUGCCUAACUUCGAUAUUCUUACAUCGGAACGAUCCGAACUUAAAUAUCAUACUCAACAGUCGUAAAUACAACCUCUCCAAAAUACGACUUAAAUCCAACGGCCGGAUUCUACAUUAAUUAACCGCCAAAAAUACCAAACUUCGGAAAUUCACAAACCUAUCCAAAUCUCAUCCAAAAAUUCCAUAAUUCACUUCAAUAAUAUCCCCUUAAUAUUCUACAUCAAAAACCAUAAAAUUUCCCAAAACAGCGGCGGCGCCGCCGGCGGCUCCGCCGGCAGCGGCGGCCGGCGACCAACUCCGGCAACCUGCAAAUGCCACCAAAUUUUAACAGAAUCUUCCUCUCAAUCUCCUCUACAACUUUCAUGACCAACACAAACUCCAAUUCUAAGCCUAACCAUGUCAAUCGAACACAAACAACCAUAAAUCUCUAAAACUUUCAAUUAUACAAACCACCCUAACGAAAUCGAAUUAAGCCGAAACCUUUUGAGGGAUUACUCACCUAGAUGAGGGCUACAAGUUGAGCCAAAAAUCACGACCUAUGGUGGCCGGAGGACGGAGCUCCGGCGAAGACACAGUCGGCGGUUCCGGCGGCUUUUUCUCCUCUCCGGCGGGUUAGAGGCUCGGGGGCUAGGCCGGGGAGGGAGAGGAGGUGACGGGGGUCCGAUCUGGGCUGGAGCGGCGGCAGCUGGUGGCCGGACGGCGGCGGGAGGACGGCCGGAAGUCUGCUGGGUGUAGAGAGAAAAAACUCGGGUGGGAAGAGAAGAAAAAUCGGGAGGAAGAGAGAGAGAAAGGAAGAAGAAAUGGGUUGGGCUCGGCCCAGCCGACCCAACUCUCCUUUUAAUCCAAAAUUCAACACCCCGAAAAAUAAUACCCGAAUAAAAAUUACCUUUUACUAGCUAAAAUUUACUAUUUUUACCGUCGUCGUAUUUUCUUCAUACUAAU